GGAAAGACCCCGUGGAGCUUUACUGUAGCCUGAUAUUGAAAUUCGGCACAGCUUGUACAGGAUAGGUAGGAGCCUUUGAAACGUGAGCGCUAGCUUACGUGGAGGCGCUGGUGGGAUACUACCCUAGCUGUGUUGGCUUUCUAACCCGCACCACUUAUCGUGGUGGGAGACAGUGUCAAGCGGGCAGUUUGACUGGGGCGGUCGCCUCCUAAAAGGUAACGGAGGCGCUCAAAGGUUCCCUCAGAAUGGUUGGAAAUCAUUCAUAGAGUGUAAAGGCAUAAGGGAGCUUGACUGCGAGACCUACAAGUCGAGCAGGGUCGAAAGACGGACUUAGUGAUCCGGUGGUUCCGCAUGGAA
rnacentral:rRNA from 1 species